UCAAAUUGCAUCUCUCAUCAGCACACACAGUUCCACUGCCAAAGGGAGACCUGCUCUAAAAUUCAGCACCAGGUUUCAGCGCUUUGCUUGAGAUCCAAGUCAUGGAAUCUGGGUCCAGAUGGUGGGUCAUCCUUAUGCAGGGUGUUGGCAGGACACUUAUUUUAAGGGAUUAAGAAACAGGCCUUGUUACUUUGCUGCAGGCUGAGCAUAAAAAUGAAAGCGAGAGAUCAGGCAAGGAGGAGUUUGUUGGGUUUUGUUUCUUCUAAUAAAGGGCUCUAAACAGGCAAGCUAGUUAGGCAGGAGCAGCUGUCAAAUUAGCACAGUGGAGCUGCAUAGUUAAUUGGAGGAGAAGAAUAAAAUGCAUCUGUCAAAAUUAUUUGAGAUAACAUGGACAGGGUGGCUAAGGCUCAUUUGCGGGAGAGAAAAAGGCUUACCACAGAGCUGAUGGUACGACCCUUUGCAUCUAACUACAGGAACACAGCCAGAUGCUUCUCCAAUCACCCUACUCUCUUCCACACAUGGAACUAUGGUGAUUCCACAAGGGGUUUUUUUUGCACAUUGUAGAAGUAAGAAGAGAAUAUCAGCCUCCUCAUCAAGCAAAAAAGGAAGAAAAAAAGCAUAUUGAGACAUAAGGUUGGCUUAUGCUUUCAUAUGCCAACAGGAUACCAGCUGACAUCUGCAUGACUUCUGAAAAGGACAUAAAUCCUUCCUGCUUUGAUCUAUCCACAGUACCUGCCAACAGACCCUCCUAACAAACCAGUGCAACAGAAAAUGUAACCUAGGAACAUAUCAAUACUCUCCAAGAGUGGAUGUUACAUUAUAUUGCUGGGUGCUUUGAUUGGACCUUGGGUGGUUGCUUUUUGUUAGUUGCUUUCCCUGCAUGCUGAACACUGCAAUAUCAAUUAAGCAUGCCACGCUACACCUUUGUGUUGAACGGUCGUGCAUUUGUUUUCCUUCACCAUGUGUGUACUAAUUAAUGUGACUUUUGGCGGACCGACUAUUUCACAGAAAUUAGCAGAAGCAGUGGGAUGAGUGUUUAAGUCUUGACUGCAUUUUUCUACAAGGUGGGGGGGGGGGAAGGGGGAGGUGGUGGAAAAGGCAACUCUAUUUGUUGGUUCAGUGGAAGCAAAUCUUUACAAAAUGAUUAAUUUACAAGGAAGGCACCAUAUUCUGCCACUUCCCAAGCUCUCCAAGAUAAAUAAUACAGACAUAGUAAAGGCCAACUGUGUUGUAUUAAUAAUUGAUAUUUCCCUGCUUCGUGGCCCGCCUGUAUUUAUUGUACUUUGCCCGAGUCCGGUUAGAGAGCUGCACAAAUAAUCGAUAGGCCUUGCUACAUUUAGAUCAGCAUUUUUCUUCCUUUCCCUCCAUCCCCCAUUAAAUUUAUUAGAACCUCUGUCAGUUUAGUAGUUUCAACAGGUAUCGUUGACUCAACAUUGAGAAUCAAGAAAGCUGGAGGGAAGAAUAAUUCAUUGUAAAAACUAAGGGAAUAGGGAUUGGUCACCAACUCAGAAACCAGGGCAUGGUUUCAGACAGGAAGCUGCCUGAAAGUAUUUAACUACAUCUGCCCAGGACCUAAGUGUCCAUUGGUGUAGGGCAGUGGUUCUCAAGCUGUGGAUCCCCAGAUGUUACACCUUAGUUACUUCUAGACUGGAUUACUGUAAUGCGCUCUACGUGGGGCUGCCUUUGAAGACGGCUCAGAAAAUACAGCUGGUACAGAGAUCUGAUUAUUAUUAUUAUUAUUAUUAUUAUUAUUAUUAUUAUUAGCGUUGCUGUGGCUUAUGGGAAUCAUUUGUUGUCCAGGUGGAAUAGCAGUGAAUAGCUUUGCAGCCUCAAAGCCUGGCCGUUUUCUGGAGUAGCUGGAGUAGCACCCUCAAUCAAAAAGCGGCUUUGAAGCCUGGCUACUCUCUUUGUAGGGGAAUCAUUGUUUGGCCAGCUUGAAUUGCACUGAAUAGUCUUGCAGCUUAAAAGCCUGGCUGCUUUCUACAUAGGGCAUCCUUAUAAUAAUAAAUAAUAAUAACUUUAUUUUUAUACCCCGCCCCAUCUCCCCAGUGGGGACUCGGAGCAGCUUACAUGGGGACCAAGCCUGAAACAUACAGCAAUAAAACGAUAAAACAAUUAUUCCAACAGUGAAAUCAAUAUCAAUAAAACCAUCAUAAAAAUCAACAUACAGCAUAAAAUGUUAAAAACAGGCGACUAAAACAAGGAUCUGGGCCAAAGUGUAGAAUAUAUCAAAAUGGGAGAGGUAAUUUCUCAGUCAAAGUAAUCCAUAAAGUGCAAAGUAAUAGUGGCAGAAAAUCCUGUAGUUGGAUGGGCAGAUAGUUCAACCUAGUAAUUAACCGUCUAAGGCCUUUUGGAAGAGCCAGGUUUUUAGGCUCUUCCGGAAGGAGAGGAGGGUAGGGGCCUGCCUGAUCUCCCUGGGGAGCGAGUUCCAAAGUCGGGGGGCCACGAUGGAGAAGGCCCUCUCUCUCGUCCCCACCAACCGCAACAUGACUCACUCCUCCAUUCACAUCUUUGGAAUCAGGGCUGUCACAAUACAUUAUCUUGGACUAGUAGCCUGCUUUUCUGCCUCAGUUUCCCCAUCUGUAGAAAGGCAUUGACAAUUCCCAGCUGGGUGAACAAAACCAACUGAGACUCUAUUGAGACUAAAGCCAGUGGGACUCUUCAUCACAUAAACAGAAAGUGCUAUUGAAGAGAGGCUUCAUUGCUAGGAGCUAAGAGAGUGUUAGUAUUUCUUGCGCUACCGUUAUUAAUGAUCAUCAUCAUAUCACAUUCUCCAGUGUAUUAUGACGUACGAGGUUCACUAAGUGGUUUCAAUCACCCGGGAAGGGUGUAAUGGCUUAGUAAUGCAUUCCCUGUUGUGUCUUUCAACUUUUAUGCAACAGCAAUGAAAAUAUAAAAUGUGUUUAAUUAAAGAAGGUGGCUUGCUUUAUUGAACAAAUGUAUUGAAUAAAUAAAAGGAAUCAUU